AUACGUAGGGUGCGAGCGUUGUCCGGAAUUACUGGGCGUAAAGAGCUCGUAGGUGGUUUGUCGCGUCGUCUGUGAAAUUCCGGGGCUUAACUCCGGGCGUGCAGGCGAUACGGGCAUAACUUGAGUACUGUAGGGGAGACUGGACUUCCUGGUGUAGCGGUGAAAUGCGCAGAUAUCAGGAGGAACACCGGUGGCGAAGGGGGGUCUCUGGGCAGUAACUGACGCUGAGGAGCGAAAGCAUGGGUAGCGAACAGGAUUAGAUACCCUGGUAGUCCAUGCCGUAAACGGUGGGCGCUAGGUGUAGGGGUCUUCCACGACUUCUGUGCCGUAGCUAACGCAUUAAGCGCCCCGCCUGGGGAGUACGGCCGCAAGGCUAAAACUCAAAUGAAUUGACGGGG
rnacentral:rRNA from 1 species